CACAAGCGGUGGAGCAUGUGGUUAAUUCGACGCAACGCGAAGAACCUUACCAGGGCUUGACAUCCCCUGACCGCGUAUGAAAGUACGUUUUCACCCUCGGGUGACAGGGAGACAGGUGGUGCAUGGUUGUCGUCAGCUCGUGUCGUGAGAUGUUGGGUUAAGUCCCGCAACGAGCGCAACCCCUACGUUUAGUUGCUAACAGGUGAAGCUGAGCACUCUAGACGAACUGCCGUUGACAAAACGGAGGAAGGUGGGAUGACGUCAAAUCAUCAUGCCCCUUAUGUUCUGGGCUACACACGUGCUACAAUGGCCGGUACAGACGGAGGCGAAGCCGCGAGGCGGAGCAAAUCCGAAAAAGCCGGUCUCAGUUCGGAUUGCAGGCUGCAAUUCGCCUGCAUGAAGUCGGAAUCGCUAGUAAUCGCAGGUCAGCAUACUGCGGUGAAUACGUUCCCGGGCCUU
rnacentral:rRNA from 1 species